UUUUCUAUUCAUACCUCUAGCUUCAUAUCCGAGCAGUACCCAAUUCCGUCUGAUCUGUUUCAGCCACCAACCAUGGGAUGUGGUAAGAUGCAGCCUGUGAGCAGCAUUUCACACCCCCCCCUGAAGGGAGUCAUCGGUGAGCAAAAACAUCAACCCUUGUUCUGAAGCUGUUUAAAAAAAUUCACCCCAGACCUGGAGACCUCAUAAGAUGUCACAUAUACCAGCAAGAGUAACAGUAUUGUUUCAAAUUUUGGGCUCUUCCCCUGGACAGAUUCAAGCUGGCACUCCAACAGGAAGAAAGCUCUCCAAGAAGCUUAUUGAUUUGAACCACGAUUUCUACGGAGGUGGUCUAGAAAUAUUACUUUACAUGCACUGUAUCUAUAUUUCCUCUGCAAGCUACACAAAAGGCUUUUUAUCAGAGCUUCUUUCAUUUACUCACUUUUCUGGAAAACCGUGCUAAAUACAGUGGCAACAUGGAUUGAACAAAUCACAUCAUCAGUGGAAAUAACUAUAUUCAGGUAUCGCUAUUGAAGUGUCAAGCACUAAA
rnacentral:lncRNA from 1 species